CAAUACAUAACAGGUGCAUAAUAAAUAUAAGUUACGCAUGUGGUUGAUACACAAGGUAUACUACCAUAUACUUAUCAUAUUUUCAUGCCUUGAGCACACCUUGC
rnacentral:miRNA from 14 species